rnacentral:rRNA from 1 species
GGCCUCAAAUCAGGAGGACUACCCGCUGAACUUAAGCAUAUCAAUAAGCGGAGGA